UUGAAAAUGCAAUAAGAACCAACAAAUGGCUUAUGAACCACGGCGAACAUCUACAUAAUGAGUCUAAAUACGUGGUGCCAGAAAUGUUUUAUACUGACACUAGUCGAGCAAUACCCAGGAACAAUAGUGCUGAUGUAGUGCUAGAAAAGUUAAGAAUAGACAGACAAAAGAAUACUGAAGUGUGGCUUGGAUACUCGUGAUGAUCAAAGCGAC
rnacentral:lncRNA from 1 species